rnacentral:rRNA from 1 species
AGCGAACGCUGGCGGCAGGCCUAACACAUGCAAGUCGAACGAACCUUUCGGGGUUAGUGGCGGACGGGUGAGUAACACGUGGGAACGUGCCUUUAGGUUCGGAAUAACUCAGGGAAACUUGUGCUAAUACCGAAUGUGCCCUUCGGGGGAAAGAUUUAUCGCCUUUAGAGCGGCCCGCGUCUGAUUAGCUAGUUGGUUGAGGUAAUGGCUCACCAAGGCGACGAUCAGUAGCUGGUCUGAGAGGAUGAUCAGCCACAUUGGGACUGAGACACGGCCCAAACUCCUACGGGAGGCAGCAGUGGGGAAUCUUGCGCAAUGGGCGAAAGCCUGACGCAGUCAUGCCGCGUGAAUGAUGAAGGGCUUAGGAUUGUAAAAUUCUUUCACCGGGGACGAUAAUGACGGUACCCGGAGAAGAAGCCCCGGCUAACUUCGU